rnacentral:tRNA from 1 species
GCCUUCGUGGCCUAAUGGAUAAGGCAUCGGUCUCCUAAACCGGGGAUUGCGGGUUCGAAUCCCGCCGAGGGUA